rnacentral:tRNA from 1 species
GGUGCGUUCGUAUAUCGGCUAAUACACCGGACUGUCGAUCCGGGAAGACGGGUUCGACUCCCGUACGCACCGCCA